rnacentral:rRNA from 1 species
UUAUAUCAUUAAAUUUAAAAGAUUUGGCGGUAUUUUAAAUAAUUAGAGGAACCUGUGUAUGAAUUGAUGAUCCACGAUAAGAUUUACUUAAUUAUUUAUGUAUUGCUGUUUUAAAAUUAUUAUUAAUUAAAUUUUUUUAAAGUUAAAAUAAUUUAAUUCAAGUCAAAAUAUAGUAUAAUUAAGAUAUGGGUUACAUUUUAAUUUUGAAAUUGGAUUUAAUAGUAA